rnacentral:rRNA from 1 species
CUACGGGAGGCACCAGUGAGGAAUUUUGCGCAAUGGGGGAAACCCUGACGCAGCAACGCCGCGUGAGUGAUGAAGGCUUUUGGGUCGUAAAGCUCUGUCAAUGGGGAAGAAAUUGAUUAUGGUUAAUAUCCAUAGUCAUUGACGGUACCCAUGAAGGAAGCACCGGCUAACUCCGUGCCAGCAGCCGCGGUAAUACGGGGGGUGCAAGCGUUAUCCGGAAUUAUUGGGCGUAAAGGGCGCGCAGGCGGUCUUGUCAGUCAGGUGUGAAAGCCCGGGGCUCAACCCUGGAAGUGCACUUGAAACAGCAAGACUUGAGUACGGGAGAGGAGAGAGGAAUUCCUGGUGUAGAGGUGAAAUUCGUAGAUAUCAGGAGGAACACCGAUGGCGAAGGCAUCUCUCUGGACCGAUACUGACGCUGAGGCGCGAAGGCGUGGGUAGCGAACGGGAUUAGAUACCCCAGUAGUC